rnacentral:tRNA from 1 species
GGUUGUGGCUCAGUGGUAGAGUACUUGCCUAGCAUGUUUGAGGCCCUAGGUUCGAUCCUCAGCACCA